ACAAGUGCUAAUCAUCUCUGGGACCUCCUUCAAGACUGUUGGAAGACCAUUUCAGGUGACUGAAGCUCAUCAAGAGAAUGCCAAGAGUGUGCGAAGCAGUAAUCAUAGCAAAAGGUGGCUACUUUGAAGAACCUAGAAUAUAAGACAUAUUUUCAGUUGCUUCACACAUUUUUCAUACCUCCAGUGUAAAUCCACAAUU